CCGUUGAGCCGUUACAAAGAUAUUGAAGAAACUGAUGAUUUAGCUUCGUUUACGCCUGGAGGGCCGAGGCGACGUCGUAAAAUCGUGGAAAUGGAUUUGGGGCAUUGUGGCACAUAACCGAAGACCUAGAAUUUCCAGGGCUGCGAAGCGGAGCACGGUUGUGGCGCAGUUGCAAUAUUGGGUUGUGCCGGAUACGGGUGCCGCGGGAGGCCGAUUGCAAGUGUCGACAAGCAAUCGGAACGCGAGUUAAGGUGGGUUGUGUUUACCGAAGCGACUAGGUCGCCGU
rnacentral:lncRNA from 1 species